ACCAAUGCCCUUCGGGGCUCACUGGUGAUUCAUGAUAACUCCUCGAAUCGCAUGGCCUUGUGCCGGCGAUGGUUCAUUCAAAUUUCUUCCCUAUCAACUUUCGAUGUUUGGGUAUUGGCCAAACAUGGUUGCAACGGGUAACGGAGGGUUAGGGCUCGACCCCGGAGAAGGAGCCUGAGAAACGGCUACUACAUCCAAGGAAGGCAGCAGGCGCGCAAAUUACCCAAUCCCGACACGGGGAGGUAGUGACAAUAAAUACUGAUACAGGGCUCUUUUGGGUCUUGUAAUUGGAAUGAGUACAAUUUAAAUCCCUUAACGAGGAACAAUUGGAGGGCAAGUCUGGUGCCAGCAGCCGCGGUAAUUCCAGCUCCAAUAGCGUAUAUUAWAGUUGUUGUGGUUAAAAAGCUCGUAGUUGAACCUUGGGCCUGGCUGGCCGGUCCGCCUCACCGCGUGUACUGGUCCGGCCGGGCCUUUCCCUCUGUGGAACCCCAUGCCCUUCACUGGGUGUGGCGGGGAAACAGGACUUUUACUGUKAAAAAAUUAGAGUGCUCCAGGCAGGCCUAUGCUCGAAUACAUUAGCAUGGGAUAAUAGAAUAGGACGUGUGGUUCUAUUUUGUUGGUUUCUAGGRCCCCCGUAAUGAUUAWUAGGGACAAUCGGGGGCAWCAAUAUUCAAUUGUCAAAAGUGAAAUGCUUGG
rnacentral:rRNA from 1 species